GUGAGUGUGCCCGAAAGGGAACCUAGACACAGGUGCUGCAUGGCUGUCGUCAGCUCGUGUCGUGAGAUGUUGGGUUAAGUCCCGCAACGAGCGCAACCCUUGCCAUUAGUUGCUACAUUUAGUUGGGCACUCUAAUGGGACCGCCGGUGACAAACCGGAGGAAGGUGGGGAUGACGUCAAGUCCUCAUGGCCCUUAUGGGUAGGGCUUCACACGUAAUACAAUGGUCGGUACAGAGGGCAGCCAACCCGCGAGGGGGAGCUAAUCCCAGAAAGCCGAUCGUAGUCCGGAUUGUAGUCUGCAACUCGACUGCAUGAAGCCGGAAUCGCUAGUAAU
rnacentral:rRNA from 1 species